rnacentral:lncRNA from 1 species
CAGCAUGAAGUACAACCGGCAUAAAGCAUCUGAAACUACCAAAAUAGCCCGGAACGACCCUAAGCUCCUCUAACUCUCCCUUAUUAAUAGUAGGAAGUGAACUUGCGACUUUGUUGGGGCGUUAAACGAAGCCAUUGGGGAGGUUACUACUACAAGAAGACUAGUCCACUGUUUUAUCGGGUGAAUAGUAGUACUUAUCUUCAUUCAAUGUUUACAGCAAACAAAAAAUAUUUACUGUUUUGCUGUAAACGCAUGCCCGUUUGAAUUGAUUUAUUUUAAGUGAUUCUAAGACAAAAUAGUUU